GCUGCCAGAGCACACCCAGGAACAAAAUGGCAGAACUGAACUCCCAACUGACUACCGCGUCUCGCCAACACGUGGCUGUCCACCACUGCAUCAGGCCCCAGCGAGACUGCAGUUCCCACAAUAAUUCACGCACCUGUCGCUAGGGGCAGAACCAGCUCUGUCACUGUUAUCUGCCCACAACACUGACCAAACAAAGCCUGCUGUUAAUUAACCUUGGCACUGGCUCCUGCCUCAUUUGAAUCUGCCAGAGGACUGUACCACAAUACUGCAUAUUUGGAUGUAACAAAGAACGUGAUAACAUUUAAUGGGAGUAAAUUUACAUAUUCAUACAAAUUCUGGGGUCAGCUUUGACCAUCUAGGUAUAUUCAUGUAAUAUCUUUAUGAUCUCCAGAAAAUUUACCCAUCACUGUUCAAUGCCAGUGAUGAUUUGUUUUUUAAGUUUCUUGAGUAGGGAUGGAGAACAAAGAUCCAGCAGUUUUGAGAAAGUGUCUACAUAUAUUUGUGGACUUAAUCAUAUUUUAAUGUACAACUACUACUGAAUAUACUGUAUGCUGGGGAGUAACAUUUUUUAAAUGGUGGUGCUCCUGUUUGGGAAAAAUGUUUGAUAUACAAAACUGUGUUAUGUAAAUAUCAACCCUGGAUUUACCGUAAGGAAUUUCUUAUAAUAAGCAUGAGAGCUGGGUGCAUUUUCUAACAUGGUCAAUAUUUAAAACCGAAUUAAAGAUGUGAUUUUUUCUGGUUUUUCUAUGUAAAAUUAUUUUGCCCAAAGUAGUAUGCUGUAUCUUAUCUACACAAAAAAUUAUGUUAACAUGCAAAACUAUGUACUGAAUGCAAUUUCAUUAUUGAUUUUUCAAAACAAGAUUGUGUGUCAGAAUACCUGUACUAUUUUACAUGGGGUACCGCAUAUACAUUCUGACACUAGAAUUAUCAGAAAACUGAGAUCUAUAAAUGGUGACUGAAGUGUUCUGGGAAGUGACAGCAUCAAGACUUUGUUUCGUGUAACCAGUUUUGAUACCCAAAUGUCAAAAUUCAGAGACAGUGAAAAACAGUGUAUGUGGUUAUCUACAUACAUUUAAAUACAGCAGCUAACAGGAUAUGUUUUUUAUGUGUAUAGUAUUGUAGACUUUUGUGCAGAGCUUAAAAGUUGAAAAUUCCAAGUGUGGGAUGUGAUAAGACAAGUGCAAAAUUAAAAGACUAAAUUAAUGUUGGAUCUGAGGGUCUCACGGCAGUGACUGUGAAGAAUACUUGUACUGUCAUCUGUGAUGUUAUGCCAUGUAAUUUAGUACAAGAAAAGUUAGCCACCUGUAGCAACAUUAAACAAGAGAGAAGAAUGGAUAAAUAAGGACUCCAAGAAUUUAUGAUAGUGUUCAGGUGGAAGAUAUUCAUAGCAGUAACAAAUAAUUAUACUGCUGUGCCAAUUUUCAUGUUACUUGAAACACACAAUACAAAUGCAGUAUAAGACAUUUUAAUAUGUCAUGCUCCAUGCUAUUUAGAGUAUUCCAUACUUUUUCCAUAUGUGAGUGUAUGGCAUGGGAGUCAUGCGUACAUGGCACUUUUUAGCUUAUUGUGCGUCCAUUCUUUGGGGAUGACAUUGUUGUGGUAGGCUGGAUUGUAAUGUGUUUGAAUCCUGUUCUAGAAAUAUUCAGAAUUUAUAAAACAAAUGGAUGGGCCCAAGAAUGUAGUUUCUCAAGGGGUGGGGAAAAGGACUGGAAGCCUGAACUAUUUUGUAGUAACUGCAUGACUGGACAACAGAUGUCUGAAGCUACGUCAGCACAGCGAGAGAGAAUUACUCCCAAUCUUUGAACACAGCAGUUAUUUUCUAUGUGGGUGACAGGUAUUGUGAUUUGAUGUGGUGUUGUUUGGUUUGAUGAACUGGAUAAAAUCAAUUUUAAUAUAUUUCUUUCAUUGGACAUAAUAAUGUAUAAUAUUUCUUUAUAAUAUGCAUUAUGUGAGGGACAAGCUUACUAAUCUAAACAUUUAAGUUCUCACAGUGAAUUCUGUAUGCAAUAGUAGAAUCCUGAAUGCAACAUAAUACACAUGAAUGUUAAACAAAAUUUACCCUUUGGAGUAAGUAAUUCAUUUUAUCAGAAAAGGGACUUUUCUCAUUUUGUGUACUGACUAGAUAUACACCAUUCAGAAGUGUCCAUUCGACUUAUGGAGGAAGUGAGUUCACAUCAGCACAUGCUUAAUGUUGGCGACUACAAAAUGCUGAUUCGUGUCAUAAGUGAGACAACUUAAAUUAGCUUGCGCUUCAACAAAAAGAAUAGGCUGAAGUCUCAAUAAAUCAGUAAAGUUACUUUAGUAACUUUUAAUGUCAGAAAUGAUGAACUAUUAAUCUGUGUUAUAUGUUAAAUAGGUGUGUGGAUUCACUUUCUGAGCAGGGAAUUAUUUUCAGCUCUUGCCCUGGUUUAAUUUUGGCAUGCAGACAGGUUAAUCUUGGUUAUGUAGUGACAUACUAGCAAUUUAAUUGACUGGCAGGGAGGGUCAUGCUGCUGCUACACAAAUUUUCACCCUCAAUAAUAUAUAUCUUUGUCAUAAAAAUAAUGUCUGCAUGAUUAGAUCAUAACAUUGUAAGAUUUGAGGUUUUCAGAUCAUAAAAUUAUUUCAGUAUACAAGCAUUAAUGAACUAUCCUGGGGGGGGGGGAAGUAUGAUUAUGUGGGUUGUAAUGGAGUGUAUUCUUUACAAUUCAAGAUUAUUGCAGUCACUGCUGUAAGAACCUCAAACCCAACAUAUUACAGGAAGAUUAAUGCAGUGUGUGGAACAGAUAUAACAGGAUGAGAACUACAGGCUUUCACUGGCUAUAAGACAAAACCAGUCACAUUUACUUUACUGUAUAUAUAGAUCUCAUUUUGUUGUGUAUUUUCUUUUUAGCAUUCUUUCCAUUUUAUAUGGGUUGAUACACAAAAUGUCUGCAAUCUAUUUUUCCCCCCACAGUUUUUCCUUUCUGAUUUUCUUCCAGCUUUUUCUCUUCAUAAUGUGUUCCAGUACCUGCAUAAACCAUCAUAUUCUGGGUCAUCUCAUGGAUUCAUUUCCUUUAAUAUUUAAUUCUGAUGAGUUUUGUCAAUAUCCUUGUUGUCUCCAUUCUUUUUACAUGAUCAAACAAUGCAACCAUUUCUCAUCAAACUCUAUUAACAAAUUGUGUUCCAUCUCAUCUCUGAAUAUUUCUUGUACUAACUGUUCCCCUCUUUUGUUUUCCCCUCUGUACUUAUAUAAAAUAUUGGAUUCAUUGCUUGGAUUUGGCUUUUGUUUAGCUUCAUAAGGGUCCACAUUUCAGCAUCAUGUGUUAACAGCAUCUUAAAAUAUAUUUUGUAAUGGAUGGCACUGUUUUGGGUUCUCUGCUGCAUAAUACUGCUCUUAUAUUGUGAUAAUAUUAAGAAUUAUAUGGGCUUAUUUUUCUUCUACUGAUUUUUCCAUCACUUUCCCCUUCUUAGUUACUUGGGAAUACUUGUGCGCGAUUCCAGAGAUAUCUCUUUUGUAUCUUUUUUAUUUGGGAACAAGUCUGGAGGAAAAAUUAUAUUCCUCUACAACACUUCAAAAUAGUUAAUAUUUAAUAUUGCCAAAAAUGGAGAUUUAAAUAUAUAUAUAUAUAUUUUCUACUCACAUGUACAAAUAAAUAUCACUGUUCCCAUUAGUAAAAUGUUAGUAAUUUUAUGUGUAAUAAAGCCAUGUAAAGUGUACAUCAGUUGUAAUAUGUAUGAAGCCAUGUUCACAAGUUCUAUUAUUUUGUAAAAUAAAAGUUUGAAUUCUGUA